rnacentral:tRNA from 1 species
GGAUAUGCGGCUGGUUUGAACUCAGCUAUUAGGGGGUUCGAGUCCUUCCUUUCU